rnacentral:rRNA from 1 species
GACGAACGCUGGCGGCGUGCUUAACACAUGCAAGUCGAACGAAGUGGCGAACGGGUGAGUAAUACGUGAGUAACCUGCCCUCCUUUUUGGGAUAAGCCUUGGAAACGGGGUCUAAUACCGAAUACAGGGGGAUGGGCUCGCGGCCUAUCAGCUUGUUGGUGGGGUGAUGGCCUACCAAGGCGGUGACGGGUAGCCGGCCUGAGAGGGUGACCGGCCACAUUGGGACUGAGAAACGGCCCAGACGCCUACGGGGGGCAGCAGUGGGGGAUAUUGCACAAUGGGCGAAAGCCUGAUGCAGCGACGCCGCGUGGGGGAUGAAGGCUUUCGGGUUGUAAACCUCUUUCGCUAUCGAACGUUUGGGUCUCUAAGAAGCGCCGGCUAACUACGUGCCAGCCGCCGCGGUAAUUC